rnacentral:tRNA from 1 species
UGUCAAGGGAUGGGAAUCGAACCCACGACCUUCCGCUUACCGGGCAGGAUGCCAUGACCACUAGGCUACCCUGGAC